CACGUAGGGGGCAAGCGUUGUCCGGAUUUAUUGGGCGUAAAGAGCUCGUAGGCGGCUCAGUAAGUCGGGUGUGAAACCUCCAGGCUCAACCUGGAGACGCCACCCGAUACUGCUGUGGCUUGAGUCCGGUAGGGGAGCGUGGAAUUCCUGGCGUAGCGGUGAAAUGCGCAGAUAUCAGGAGGAACACCAGCGGCGAAGGCGGCGCUCUGGGCCGGAACUGACGCUGAGGAGCGAAAGCGUGGGUAGCAAACAGG
rnacentral:rRNA from 1 species